rnacentral:misc_RNA from 1 species
UUUCCGUAGGUGAACCUGCGGAAGGAUCAUUAAAAAAUAUCGCUCGAUUGAGAGUGAUUUAAUAAUCAUCCUACCCUUUGUGAAUUUGUUGUUUGUAAUAAUUUUUUUGAUUUUAAAAAAAAAUUAUUUAUGGUUUUGUCAUCCCUAAAAUUGGUUUGUUGUGAAAUGAAUCAAAUUUAGGGAAUAGGCUUUCAUAAAUAAGUUUUUUUUAAAGUCUUAAAGACCUUUUUUAAAAUUAAACUUUUGUAUUCAUUUGUCUAAAUUUUUUUAAAUAAUUUAAAAACAACUUUUGACAAUGGAUCUCUUGGUUCUCGCAAGAUGAAGAACGCAGCAAAAUGCGAUAAGUAAUGUGAAUUGCAGAAUACGUGAAUCAUCAAAUCUUCGAACGCAUAUUGCACUUUUUUAGUUUACUAAAAAAGUAUGUCUGUUUGAGUAUCAGUAAAAUAUUCUCAUAAAACAUUUUGUUUUUAUGGUUAUGAGUGUUUUACAACGAUAAACAAGUUGUUUCACUUUAAAUUCAUUUUAAUUUAAGACCAUUUUGGUUUUAAUAAUAAAUUGGAUAAAAUUUUCCCGUAAAAAGGAAUAAACUUUUCAGUUUUAGUUAUAGAAACUCGGUCCGAUUUUAAAAGGAAAUUUAUUUAAAUAACUUGAUCUCAAAUCAGAUAAGAGUACCGCUGAACUUAAGCAUAUCAAUAAGCGGAGGAAAAGAAACUAACAAGGAUUCCUUAGUAACGGCGAGUGAAGCGGGAAGAGCUCAAAUUUGAAAUCUUCAAGGUUCUACCUUGACGAAUUGUAGUUUAAAGAAGUGUUUUCUGUUAGAUGAGUAGCAAAAGUUCCUUGGAAUGGGACAUCAUAGAGGGUGAGAAUCCGUAUUUGGUUAUUCAUGCUAGCUUUGUGAUACACUUUCAAAGAGUCGGAUUGUUUGGGAAUGCAGUCCAAAAUGGGUGUAAAUUUCAUCUAAAGCUAAAUAUUGGCGAGAGACCGAUAGCGAACAAGUACCGUGAGGGAAAGAUGAAAGAACUUUGAAAAGAGAGUUAAACAGUACGUGAAAUUGUCAAAGGGAAGCGUUUGACACCAGUGUUGUUUUUCCGAAAAUCAAUUACGAAUGGCUUGAUUUUGUGUUGUAUUGACCUUAUCAGCUUUCUUCACUUUUUUCGAGUCUUUCUUAAUGCACUUUUCGGUUAACAAGUCAACAUCAAUUUCUUUUGUUGUAAAAGAGUAUUCGGAAGGUGGCUUUCUUUUCGGAGAAAGUGUUUAUAGCCCUAUACUUCUACAAUCGGAGAGAUUGAGGCUGCAGCGUAGAUCCUUCGGGUUAGAUACAUUUGUGCUAAGUUGUAGCUUUUCAUAGACAACUUGUUGACUAUGUUUAGUCAUGCGCUUACUCGCUUAUGCUAUUU